AAAGAGUUCAUCAAAACGUUACACGUUAUUUAUCAACGCGCGCUUUGAACCUUUUUGAGUCUGAAGCUGAAAGGAAAUCAAAUUCCGUUCUUCUUCGCAAUAUUGGAAAAAAAUAAUUUCCGUUCCUGGGGUUGUGUUUCAAUGUACCAAAUCGAAGAGAACACGAACAAAGCCUCUCGACGUCUGGUUUCUAGUUCCAAAUUCCAUUUUCUGUUUGCUCCUUCGAAGGUGAAUUCUUUGGCAUCAUGAUCACUGGUUUUCUUAAGUCGAUCAAUGAAGAUAGGAUUAUUGUGUAGUCUCUCAUGUGUUAUGACAGGACUAUGAACGGAGACAUGCUCUACCUCUGCUGGACAAAAAAUUUAAUGCCCCAUAUCAUUUGUUUCUCUAAUGAGGUCAUGAGAUCUUGAGAGAUCAGUUGAGAGUGGAUAAGCUCAUAUCAGCCAACACCUUCUUCGUCACCCUCCUACUUUUGUUUCACUUUUUCUUAUAUAGACAUAAAUAAAAAAACCUCAAUUGUAUAAUGAUUUUAUUUGUUGUUAAGUGCUUUAAUAAUGUUGCAUCUUUUGAUUGUAUAUGCUAUAAAAUAUAUAGUUGUGGAUGGUGCAUUUUCGGCUACUUGCACAGUUUGCUACAUGCUUGCGUAUUUGUAAUAAGGUUUUGAUCCACUAACAACGUGGAUAAUAAAGGUGUUUGGUUCUUUUUAAAGCGAAUGGACUUUUACCUUUUCUUUUUUUUUUUCGUUUGUGCUAAACACCAUCUUUGUCAUCCUAAUUGUUAUUUGUUCUUGUCGUUGUCAUAAUGUGACUAUUUUUGUGCAACAUUUGCUUUGUGUUGAGUCAUUUUCCUUAAUGUGACACUACAGAAAUUGAUUCUGCAAUUCAUGUUGUCUCGUUAAAAAAAAGGUACUGGAUUUUCCAUGUAAUUGUCUUCUUUUACAUUUCCUGAGUUUUAAACGCAUUUGCCUUAAAGUGUGUUUAGUGAUGAUUGUUUUAUAAUGACAUGGGAGAACCC